GGGUCAGUAUGCUGGUCGUGCCACCGGUACGUACUGGUCUCACUGAUUCCUCCUUCCUGAAGAACCGUAAUGCCAUUAAUUUGUUGUUGCGGGGAAACAGGACUGUUACUUUUAAAAAAUUAGAGUGUUUAAAGCAAGCUAACGCUUGAAUACAUUAGCAUGGAAUAAUGAAAUAGGACGAUCGAUCCUAUUUUGUUGGUUUCUAGGAUUGACGUA
rnacentral:rRNA from 1 species